rnacentral:lncRNA from 1 species
GUGUCUUAGGCGGUUCCAGCCGUUAGUCACAGGGCGGCCGGACUACAAUCCCAGCAUACAACGGGAGUGGAGGUGGUGACCUUGAGAGAGGGCCUGUGCUGUGCGCGCCUCGCGGGGCAUGCUGGGAGCAGUAGCAUCUUAGCUGCUUCCGGCCGCUGGUCGCAGGGCUGCGGGACUACAAUCUUCGCAUGAAAUGGAAGAGAGGGUGGUGCGGAUAGCUUGAGGAAGGUCUCGCAUCUGGGGCUCGAUCUCGUGCAGAGGAGCAUUUCCGAAGACACUGGCCGCUCCCACAAUGGCUCCGAAGAACCCAGCGACCAGCGGGUUCAUGAGUUUGUUGGGGCUGUCCACUCGGUACCAGCUGCGCAGGGAUGUCAGGACAAAGAAACAAGUUGCCUGGUUCCAGCCCUGCUUCAGCACGGGGCCUGUGGGGCCCCGGUAAGUCCCGGUGUUCCCGCACAAUCUCCUAACCCUGUGGAAGAAUCCCCUGUACUUGGAUUUGGAGAGGUCUGGCCAUGGAUUAACUUCACCUUGAUGGUCUCCAUGGGACAUAGGACCACCACGGCCUCGGCCACGCUAGCUCACUGGCCGCACCGCUGCCCGCCUUGCUGUUCACCAGUCCCUGGGCAUCCCGCAUCUGGUUGCUGAGGAACGCCUGACGCCGCCUUGUGGAUGAAGCCGCAGAGCAGGGAGCUGAGGCUGCGGCCCAGGCCCAGGCUGCCUUGGCUGCGACUGUGUGCCUGCAGGCCCCAUGCCCGGUAUCCGGUGGAUGCGAGUGCUAGUCCAGCUGCAGCUGCAUCUUCACGAACUCGGUGGGGAACGGGAUGCAGAUUUUUUUUUUCUUUUCCUUCCUUCCUUCCUUCCUUCCAACUUCCUUCCUUCCUUCCCCUUUCUUUCUUUCUUUUUUUUUUUUUUUUUUUUUUGACAGAAUUUUGCUCUUGUCCCCCAGGCUGGAGUGCAGUGGCGCGAUCUUGGCUCACUACAACCUGGAUUCAAGCGAUUCUCCUGCCUCAGCCUCCCGAGUAGCUGGGAUUACAGGCAUGUGCCACCAUUCCCGGCUAAUUUUUUUGUCUUUUUAGUAGAGACGGUGUUUCCCCAUGUUGGUCAGGCUGGUCUCAAACGCCUGACUCAGAUGAUCCGCCCGCCUCGGCCACCCAAAGUGCUGAGAUUACAGGCUUGAACCACCGCGCCUGGCCCUGUGAUGUAGAUUUUGAUGCUGCCAGCCAGGCUGCCUGCCGGGAUCGCCUGCCCUGGAGCAGGAGCAUCAGCCGUGCGUUCCAGGACGCAGGCAUGGCAUGACCGGCAGGAGGCGGAGUGCCCGGCGUCUCUUGGGAUCGGAGCCUCCUGAAUUCCACGCUGGGACCUUAAUUUGGUUUUAACACAAAUAAAGAUCUCACAUAAAGAUAA